rnacentral:rRNA from 1 species
AGAGUUUGAUCAUGGCUCAGGAUGAACGCUAGCGAGCAGGCCUAACACAUGCAAGUCGAGGGGUAGAGUUCUUCUGGGACUUGAGACCGGCGCACGGGUGCGUAACGCGUAUGCAAUCUACCUUAUACAGGGGAAUAGCCCAGAGAAAUUUGGAUUAAUGCCCCAUAGUGUUAUCGAAUCGCAUGGUUUGAUAACUAAAGUUCCAACGGUAUAAGAUGAGCAUGCGUCCCAUUAGUUAGUUGGUAAGGUAACGGCUUACCAAGACAAUGAUGGGUAGGGGUCCUGAGAGGGAGAUCCCCCACACUGGUACUGAGACACGGACCAGACUCCUACGGGAGGCAGCAGUGAGGAAUAUUGGUCAAUGGGCGCAAGCCUGAACCAGCCAUGCCGCGUGCAGGAAGACGGUCCUAUGGAUUGUAAACUGCUUUUAUACAGGAAGAAACCCUCCCACGUGUGGGAGCUUGACGGUACUGUAGGAAUAAGGAUCGGCUAACUCCGUGCCAGCAGCCGCGGUAAUACGGAGGAUCCAAGCGUUAUCCGGAAUCAUUGGGUUUAAAGGGUCCGUACGCGGCCUUAUAAGUCAGUGGUGAAAUCUCCUAGCUCAUCUAGGACACUGCCAUUGAUACUGUAACGCUUGAAUUUUUGUGAGUAACUAGAAAUAUGUAGUGUAGCGUGAAUGCUUAGAUAUCACAUGAAUACC